GCUUGACCCUCUUUACAUCACUGAGUAUGCAUGUAUAACUUGACCCUCUUUACCUCAUUUAGGGAUCAACAACUACUGCAAGAAUGGGCUGGUUCUUCAGCAGUAGCUGACAACAUUUAUUACAAUGGAAGGACAUAAAGCAAAAUCAAUGAAGUGAAAAAGUACAUUAUGAAAUUCAGAGGAAUUCAGGCACAAGCUUCCAAGAGUCCUCUUCCGGUGGAUUCACACAGGACAUGCUCAGAAUUGUGAAGAAUUUUAAGACAGCAUCAGCCGAGCAUUGAACCAAGUACAGGGCCCUGAAGCAUGGGGUCCUUUGCAACUGCCCAGCUUGCACAACGUGAAGCUGGCUCCACACAUAAUGCCCUAAGAGCAAGUUACAGUUUAAAAAAUGAUUCUCGUUUCAUCUUUGCAUGCAAUCACUACCGUUUGGGGGAACUACUACACGUGGAGUUUGAAUAAGACUGCAAAUGGUCCCGCUCAGCCACGGAGGAGGAUGGCACGCAGCAUGGAGUUCAGAGGAUUGACCACAUAAAGAUUUCCUUUUACCCAAUUGUGGAAAUAAACACUUUAAAGGCAACUUUUCAAGAUCGUAGCUAAUGUGUAAAAGAAGAUUGAAACAUACAUCAUCAUUGCAUACUCCUAUAUAACAGUUGGCAUAAGAGGGUCGAGAUUGAGACGCACAGUCAACAACCAUGAAGGCUGAACCCACCCACAAAAAAACAACAGCAAUCAAGACCCAAAUUCAACAGGAGAGCCUACAUAACCCAUACAAGGGUCAUUCCUAGAGCACCCAGCUCAGAAGAUCAAGGAGACCACUCCACUGGGUGCAACAAAAAGGCCACCCCACCAAGACUGGGAAGUGUAGAUGUUUUAUCUUAUACACACCGACCUGCCAAUGCGUCCCAGUGCACCUCACCUGGCCCUGAACUACCAGGCUGCUAAAGUGUUGAGAUAAGAAACAAAUCCCAGAUAAAAGAAAAGGAGGAAUUGCCAAAAAAGGAAGUAAG